rnacentral:rRNA from 1 species
AGUGAACGCUGGCGGUAGGCCUAACACAUGCAAGUCGAACGGCAGCACAGUAAGAGCUUGCUCUUACGGGUGGCGAGUGGCGGACGGGUGAGGAAUACAUCGGAAUCUACUUUUUCGUGGGGGAGAACGUAGGGAAACUUACGCUAAUACCGCAUACGACCUACGGGUGAAAGCAGGGGAUCUUCGGACCUUGCGCGAUUGAAUGAGCCGAUGUCGGAUUAGCUAGUUGGCGGGGUAAAGGCCCACCAAGGCGACGAUCCGUAGCUGGUCCGAGAGGAUGAUCAGCCACACUGGAACUGAGACACGGUCCAGACUCCUACGGGAGGCAGCAGUGGGGAAUAUUGGACAAUGGGGGCAAGCCUGAUCCAGCCAUACCGCGUGGGUGCAGAAGGCCUUCGGGUUGUAAAGCCGUUUUGUUGGGAAAGAAAAGCAGCAGGUUAAUACCACGCUGUUCUGACGGUACCCAAAGAAUAAGCACCGGUUAACUUCGUG